rnacentral:rRNA from 1 species
AUUGAACGCUGGCGGCAUGCCUUACACAUGCAAGUCGAACGGUAACAGGUCUUCGGAUGCUGACGAGUGGCGAACGGGUGAGUAAUACAUCGGAACGUGCCUAGUAGUGGGGGAUAACUACUCGAAAGAGGGGCUAAUACCGCAUGAGAUCUACGGAUGAAAGCAGGGGAUCGCAAGACCUUGUGCUACUAGAGCGGCCGAUGGCAGAUUAGGGAGUUGGUGGGAUAAAAGCUUACCAAGCCGACAACCUGUAGCUGGUCUGAGAGGACGAUCAGCCACACUGGGACUGAGACACGGCCCAGACGCCUACGGGAGGCAGCAGUGGGGAAUUUUGGACAAUGGGCGCAAGCCUGAUCCAGCAAUGCCGCGUGCAGGAUGAAGGCCUUCGGGUUGUAAACUGCUUUUGUACGGAACGAAAAGCCCUGGGUUAAUACCCUGGGGUCACGACGGUACCGUAAGAAUAAGCACCGGCUAACUACGUGCCAGCAGCCGCAGUAA